ACACACACACACACACACACACACACACACACACACACACACACAAAUAUGGACGCACACGCGCGCGCGCACACAUUUCCCCAGGGUAGAGGCCGUUUUGAACCUCGGUUCUCUCAUUUGUGAAAUAUAUUCCUAAUAUCCAGGAUACAGAAAAGCUGUAGACACGGAAGAAGACCACCUGUGCAAAGCUGGCUGUGUACACACUUCCCCCGUCUGUGUACACACUUCCCCCGUCUGUGAAGAUGGCAGGCCUGUUCCCGUGGUAAAAGUGGUUUGGAAGCUUAAGGUUCUCAGCAUCCGGGCAUUAGGGCUGGAAGAACUGGACAAAGAAAGACAAACGUUCAGAACCAUCAGCAGGGAUGAGUGAGAAGUCAGAAGAAAUAGCACGUACCAGGCCGGCAUGACGGCUCAGCUCGUGACAAAGGCAUGGAACAGGGCCCAGUCUGCUCGCUGUCUUCUUUUGUUACGGAUGAGGAGUUUGAAGCUCCAAAAAGAGCCCCGGCUGACUGUACCACGCUCGCGGACAACUUAUUUGAGCU